GCUUGCUCCAUGAUUCAGCGGCGGACGGGUGAGUAAUGCCUAGGAAUCUGCCUGGUAGUGGGGGACAACGUUUCGAAAGGAACGCUAAUACCGCAUACGUCCUACGGGAGAAAGUGGGGGAUCUUCGGACCUCACGCUAUCAGAUGAGCCUAGGUCGGAUUAGCUAGUUGGUGAGGUAAAGGCUCACCAAGGCGACGAUCCGUAACUGGUCUGAGAGGAUGAUCAGUCACACUGGAACUGAGACACGGUCCAGACUCCUACGGGAGGCAGCAGUGGGGAAUAUUGGACAAUGGGCGAAAGCCUGAUCCAGCCAUGCCGCGUGUGUGAAGAAGGUCUUCGGAUUGUAAAGCACUUUAAGUUGGGAGGAAGGGCAGUAAGUUAAUACCUUGCUGUUUUGACGUUACCAACAGAAUAAGCACCGGCUAACUUCGUGCCAGCAGCCGCGGUAAUACGAAGGGUGCAAGCGUUAAUCGGAAUUACUGGGCGUAAAG
rnacentral:rRNA from 1 species